GUGAACGCCUAAAACCAUGUGGAGACAUGUGGAGUUACAUAAGACGUGCUCUCGAUGUUGGACGAUGUUAACAGCAUAUCUGCUCAAAGAGAGGUCGAACCAAGUAUGCUUAGCUGGUUAUGUGCGGUUUGCAAAGACCCUCCUCCCGCGAGGCGACACACAUUCUCCAGAAACUGCUUUCCUGUUCCAGAGGAGCCAUCAGAUCAGUCAGACAAGGGCACUACUAUUCCUCCAUAUAAAAAGAGCUGUUAACAACCAAAGAAAUCUACGGUUUGACAGCUGAGGUAAGUGUGACCAUAAUAGCUGUGUUUUAUUAGACCAUGAACCACAUCAGUGACCUUUACAGGCCCCGCUAUAAAGAGCUGCAAUGUUUCACAGAAUGAACUAGAUGAGAGUUAAAGAGAGCAGGAGAGAGCAGAUCAUUUUAGCAGGGUAACUUCAUAUGUGAAGGGCUAAGGAAACAAAAAUCAUCAUGAUCAAAACUGUUAAAAUCUUCAGUCCCACUUUUGCUUGAAAUACCA